AUUGAACGCUGGCGGCAUGCCUUACACAUGCAAGUCGAACGGCAGCGCGGGAGCAAUCCUGGCGGCGAGUGGCGAACGGGUGAGUAAUACAUCGGAACGUGCCCAAUCGUGGGGGAUAACGCAGCGAAAGCUGUGCUAAUACCGCAUACGAUCUACGGAUGAAAGCAGGGGAUCGCAAGACCUUGCGCGAAUGGAGCGGCCGAUGGCAGAUUAGGUAGUUGGUGAGGUAAAGGCUCACCAAGCCUUCGAUCUGUAGCUGGUCUGAGAGGACGACCAGCCACCCGGGGCCUGAAACACGGCCCAGACCCCUACGGGGGGCAGCAGGGGGGAAUUUUGGAAAAUGGGCGAAAGCCUGAUCCAGCCAUGCCGCGGGCAGGAUGAAGGCCUUCGGGUUGUAAACUGCUUUUGUACGGAACGAAACGGUUUUUUCUAAAAAAAAAGGCUAAUGACGGUACCGAAAGAAUAAGCCCCGGCUAACCACGU
rnacentral:rRNA from 1 species